GGAGAAUAGAGUCCGAUGAGCGGGAAAAGAAGGCUUAACCAGUGAGUGAUCUCCACUUGAGGGUAACAUCUGGCAAGAAAAAAGAAGACCUUUUCAAUAAACUUCAUCAGUUGAGAGCGUCAGCACUUCAGUCGAGCCACAGACGAUGCAUGUUGAGAGAUGCAGAAGUACUGAAGGACACUGCAGCCUCCACUUUGUGUUAGCCAGGUGACCCCCCUCAUUUCACACUCCCUUCUCUG